GAGGAGUAUCAUGAGUUGGUUAAUCAGGAGGAGGAUGAGUUUGAGGCCGAGGUAGAAGGUGAGGAGAUUGGAGAUCUUCAGGAGAGCGAAGGCGAUGCUGAAGAAGAAGCCAAGCUUGGAGAAGCUGGCCAUGUGGGAGAGGAAGAGGAGUAUGAUGAUGUUCUCAAUGAUAGGCGUAAGAGUAAGGAGUUUGAGAUCUUUGUUGGGAGCUUGGACAAGGGAGCUACGGAGGAGGAUUUGAAGAAAGUGUUUGGUCACGUUGGGGAGGUGACUGAGGUUAGGAUUGUGAAGAAUCCGCAGACGAAUAAGAGCAAAGGUUAUGCUUUCCUGCGUUUUGCUACUGUGGAACAAGCGAAACGAGCUGUUAAAGAGCUUAAAAGCCCAAUGGUAAACCCGUCUACAACUUUAGUAUUUGAUGGAGAGUUUGUGCUAGCUUUUACAUUGUGUGUAUACAUUGGGACUGCAGAUCAAUGGUAAAAAGUGUGGUGUAACUGCAAGCCAAGAUAAUGAUACUCUCCUCAUUGCUAACAUAUGCAAGACAUGGACCUCAGAAGCUGUAAGUAUCAGCGUGUCCAUUGAUAUGUCACAAUUAAAACCCCAACUCCACAGUUCGUGGUGAUUUUUGACCGUUGGGUCUUUUGCUGUGUGUUUCAGUUGAGGGAGAAGCUGAAACACUAUGGCGUUGAGAGUAUGGAUGAGAUUGCUUUGGUAGAGGACAGCAACAAUGCCAACAUGAACCGAGGGUAUGCGUUUUUGGAUUUCGCAUCUCGCUCGGAUGCCAUGGAUGCUCACAAACGCCUUAUAAGGAAGGAAGUGGUGUUUGGACUUGAAAAGCCUGCAAAGGUUUCUUUUGCAGAUUCCUUCUUGGAUCCGGAAGAUGAGAUGAUGGCGCAGGUACUCACAAUGCAGGAUCAUUUAUUUGUUGCAUGCAAACUUUCAUCCUGCCAUUGUCUUCUUUUGAGCGUUGGAGGAGUUUAUAAGGGCAGGCAUGGAUGCCACCUACCUAUUCACUUAAAAGUUUUUUCUUUUAUGUCUCUGUAUGGUAGCUUAGAAUGCUUUCUAACAACAUUUUAGAUACUUGAUUAUUGAUUGUUGGUGAUUAUAUUUAUCUGGCUGUAGUACUUAAUUUAAUUGGUGUUGCAGGUUAAGACUAUCUUCAUUGAUGGACUGUCAACAUCAUGGAGUGAAGAGCAUGUUAGAGACCUUUUGAAAAGAUAUGGCAAACUUGAGAAAAUUGAGCUUGCGCGCAAUAUGCCAUCAGCCAGGAGGAAAGACUUUUAUCCGAAAAACUAACCAAAAACGACCCGGAAAUAUAGUUGUGGUUUGAGUCCGGGUUAAGGGCAAUGUACAUAUUUGAUUAUUUCUUCAACCCACUGUCUCUGUUUGAUUAUGGGUCAUACCCGAGAUCCAAUUGGGUAUCCAAAGUACAUGGUUUGUGCAUAUUAGCUAUAUUUGGAUAUUUCAUAUUUGUAUUUGGUAUUUCGAAUAUGUUUUCAGUAUUAUGAAUAGUUUCUUAAGUUUCGGAUCCAAGUGUUUUAUUAUAGUUUCGAGUUUCACAUAAAAUUUUAAUUUUUUAUAAAUAUUUUGGGUAUUAGAAAAUGUAGUUAGGUAUCUUCCAUUCCUUACGUCAGAUUUAUGUAAAAUUUUGUUUUUUUUGGAAUUCAAAUAUUUUUUUCAGGUACUUGUUUGUGUUUUCAUGUAUUUUUUUUCAGGUACUUGUUUGUGUUUUCAUGUAUUUUUUUGUGUGUUUUAAUGUUUUUAGUAUUUUUGGGUGUUCGGGUACUUCAAGUGUUUUUCGAGUUUUAAAAAUCUUAAACCAAUUCGGACCCGUUACAUACCCAAAAGUUAUAGGUAUUUAAAUUAUGGAUCCGGACUCCAAAGGAAUCGAUCCGAAUCCGAACCGAAAUUUUUUAAAUACCUAGUUAUGUCUAAAUGUUUAGGAUCCGAAAACCUAAACCCGAAAGGAAUCAAUCCAUACCUGACCAGAAGAGUCGAUGCCCAAAUAUCUAAUUAUGUCCAAAUAUUAUAUUUUGUAUGCAUUUUAUAAGAAUUAUAUUUUUUUUGAACUUCGUGAGACUUAUGAUUUACUUGGUGGAUUUUGGUAAAUUUAAUAGUAUAGAUUGAAUAUUAACAUGAGAUAGUGAAUGAGCUUUUUCAUAAUAUAGAACAAAAAUAUAGAAAGGAUGUAGUCUAAUGUUACAUAGUUGUUGGAUUAACGAUUGAUAUAGUUUAUUUAUAUUAGAUUAAAGUUUAUUUAUAUUGAGUGAAAUGAGUCAUGUAUGGAUAUGUAUGUCAUAUAUCAUUUUUGUGUAGCAAAUGAUAUGGCAUGUUGUAUAACUUUGUCAUGUACAAAAAGAUGGGGAGUAAUAAAUUAUUGUUAGAAAAUGUUUAGGUGAUUUAUUGUUAGUCAAAUAUUAUGGUAAGACUAAAAAUAUUGUUAGUUAAUGAAAGGGUCCAACAACUUUUUAUAAGUAGAUUUUUUAGAACUUAUUCCUUUUUAAUAGUAUUGAUUCUAACGUGUUCGUAUCAUAUAGAAAAAUCACUAAUAAAAACAUAAAAAUGUAACGAAAGAAACAUCCGAUAAUCACGUUUUGAAAAACGCGAAGAAAUUAUAUCCAGAGCCGGUCCUUGGAAUUUACGGACUAGAAGCAAAGAGAAAAAAAAAUUGGCCACUUUUAUGCAAAAAAUAAAACAUAAAACGCUGAAGUGAUCUCUAGGAGAUUUGAUUCCGGGUUGUUGAACUAUACUAGGACAGAAAAUUACCACCAGACUAUUAGGAACUAUUUGAUUUUUGUGGCGGGAAAUUAAUUCAUAAAACAAAAGGCCGCAAGCAUAUGUUUCUUUUGCUUCGUGCAAGGGCCGGCACUGAUUAUAUCGAUACUAUUUUUUAACAUCUUAUAUCGAUACUAUUAUAUGAGUUAACAUCUGCAUAUUUUUUCUAUUGUAUCACCUUUACAUACCUUUGAAUAGUGGUUUAUUUUGAAGUUUCUAGUCUUCAAGUUUUGAUAUAGAGAACUAGUCAAUUAUGCAUACUUCUUUAUGACGAACAUCAACAGCAAUAUAUGCGAGUUGUUAAGGUAUUUGUAUUGGAAAUCUCUUAGGUUAAGUUUCUCAAAAUGUAAACGACUUAGAGCAUUAACAUUGGUAGAACACACAUAGAUCUCUCAAAUAAUAUUUUUAAAUUAUUUUUUUAUUUUAUUUUUUUAAAUAAGUCACUAUUUAAAAGACAAGUGAAAAACACAGUUCCUCGGCAAAAUCAGAAAGAUCUUCGUAUAGAGCUGCUUUCUCUUUUCUCUCCACCUUUUUCCUUUUUUUCUCUUUUUAAAUUCUUUAAUAUUUUUAAAUUAAUGAGAGCUGGUGCAAGAGCUUACCGCUGCUCAUGCUUUUAUAUUAUAUAUUUAAUUAAGGAAUUCGUGAAAAAAUAAUAAGAUAUUAAUGUCAAAAAAUUUCAUUUGAGAGAGUUUAACUUAAUUUUUUAAAGUUGUACGAGAUUUAAGUUGGAAACCAUUGAUAAUAAUAUUAUUUGUUUCUGGACUUAUGUACUAUUCUCAUUUGAAAUGAUUGGAUUUGUAUAUUAGUGGGAGUUGUCAUUUUGAAUUGAAAAGAAAAACUAUGAUGAUUGGAGUUGGAGAUGGUGCAAGUUGUUCCCUCCCUAAGGCUCCGAAUGACUGCAGGUUGAGCGGUGCGGGACAAGCAGUUUAAUUGCGGUGCGGUUCUAACACUUAUAAAAAUAUAUAGAUAUAGAUACGGAACGGUGCGGGAAGCGGGUUACCAUUCGAAGCCUUAAUAUCACGUUGCGGUGUGGUAAGUAGGAGGCACAAGACUUUGUCCACUUACGUGUAGAAACCAAGGGUCAUAUUUCAUUGAAAUUUACAAAUCAGAUCCAAUGAAUGGACAUGUUUACUUUUUUUUUUAAAGAAAUGGAACAUAAUAAAUAUAGUAACGAGGUGAGCGAAUUGGAGUCGGAACUGCAAUGUCGUAGACUCGUAGUCGUGUUGAACACCAUAUAUCUCAUUCUGAGUGUUACUUACCAUGUCAAGACUCUUUAAACAUGGAUCCUAUAGUUGGAAACUAAUUGGUUGCAUGUUUAUAACUUUAUAUAAAGUUUCAUUUGCGAAAAUAACAUGUAAUAUAAUUCAAUCAGAUAAACAUACGUAACCCGGCCACAUAAAUUACGUUUUAUAAUUGUAACUUGUAUGUAAAGAAACGCAACAAAUGUUCACACACAAAAAGGAGUAUGCCUUGAUUGUUUUUUUUUUUGCUUAACUUAUUACUUUGAUUGUUCCAACUGAUGAAUAUUUACAUUUACGAUUAGGAAAGAUGAAUAUGUUACCUACAUUCUCUGUUAAGUAUAAACAGAGGAACUUUAUAUUUGAUUUGAUCUCAAAGACAUUAAGACUGAUAACCAAAUUUAAGCAAAAAAAAAAAAAAAGACAUUGAGAAUUUAAGAUUGAUAACCAAUAAAGUUCUGUAAAGUCUCUAUCAUGAGUCCAUGACAUUGGAUUUGUUAUUACAGAAAGAGUCUGUAGAGAUGGAAAAAGAGGAAUAAAGAAAAAUAAAUGUGAAAUAAAAUUCAACAUCGACGACUGACUACGUAUGUACAUCUUCAUACAUAUCUAUCUAAUCUCUUGACUAGUUAACAACUCCGAUUACUCGUUAACAACUCCGAUUACGCCACGUGUAUUUGUUGAACUUCGUGAGACUUAUGAUUUACUUGGUGGAUUUUGGUAAAUUUAAUAGUAUAGAUUGAAUAUUAACAUGAGAUAGUGAAUGAGCUUUUUCAUAAUAUAGAACAAAAAUAUAGAAAGGAUGUAGUCUAAUGUUACAUAGUUGUUGGAUUAACGAUUGAUAUAGUUUAUUUAUAUUAGAUUAAAGUUUAUUUAUAUUGAGUGAAAUGAGUCAUGUAUGGAUAUGUAUGUCAUAUAUCAUUUUUGUGUAGCAAAUGAUAUGGCAUGUUGUAUAACUUUGUCAUGUACAAAAAGAUGUGGUGUAAUAAAUUAUUGUUAGAAAAUUUUUAGAUUUAUUGUUAGUCAAAUAUUAUGGUAAGACUAAAAAUAUUGUUAGUUAAUGAAAGGGUCCAACAACUUUUUAUAAGUAGAUUUUUUAGAACUCCUUCCCUUUUAAUAGUAUUGAUUAAACAUCCACACACAUAAACAAUGCUUCUCUUCAAGUCAUCAGAUCAAAACAAACCGGUAUUAACCGAUCAAAACUAAACCGGGGAACAAAAUAGGAAACAAACGGUAUUAACUAACCUAUACCGAACGAAAACCGGACAUUGGGCCUAUCAGUGAUAUAAAAGCCGAUCGAAACAUAGAUCCUUUGUGUACUUCUCGAAUUAGGUCUCAUUGGCUCAGAAACAGAAAAAAAAAACACAACAACACAAGAGGAAAGCUAUGCCACCAAAGGUUGUCAAGAGAGGAGGAGGAGCCGCCGCGAGACGAGGCGGUAGGGUCACGAGAUCGGCUGUCAAGGCUCAGAAUCCGCCAAUUGAAUCCGCCGAUGACGGAGAGACAUCCGUCUCCGAUGCUGUGGAUGCGAAGGAAGAGACGCCGGAGGAGGAGGUGGAUAAAUCUAUCGAGGAAGAGAAUCAAUUAGACGAGUCGAAGCAAUUGGAUGAUCUCGAAGCUGCGGCGAAUCCAAACGACGUCGUUCCGCCUCAAAGUAAGAUGAUUUUUCAUUGUUUUUAACGGAUCCAAUCUUCGAUUUGAUGAAAAGUUUGUGACUUGUUGACCGUAGAAUGAUUUAGAUUUUAGAGCUAACUGUUCUAACUUCUAUUCGCCUAAUCCCAAAUAUUUAAAAUAAAAUUAGAUUGGCAAAAAUUUUAUUAAAACAUUUACUAAAUAGUCUACUGCUCCCAGGUCCGGCCCUGUUGUAGGUUUUGUUAACUUUAGGAAUAGUGUAGAUGUUUUACUCAGCUUUUAACUCGCAGAGGAGACUGUGGAUGAUUUGGGGAAAGAUGAAAGAUUGGAUUUAGAUGACAAUGAGCCAGAGUACGACGCCGAUGAGUACGGCGGGGAGGAGGAGUUUGAGGAGAGGGAGGAGGAGUAUCAUGAGUUGGUUAAUCAGGAGGAGGAUGAGUUUGAGGCCGAGGUAGAAGGUGAGGAGAUUGGAGAUCUUCAGGAGAGCGAAGGCGAUGCUGAAGAAGAAGCCAAGCUUGGAGAAGCUGGCCAUGUGGGAGAGGAAGAGGAGUAUGAUGAUGUUCUCAAUGAUAGGCGUAAGAGUAAGGAGUUUGAGAUCUUUGUUGGGAGCUUGGACAAGGGAGCUACGGAGGAGGAUUUGAAGAAAGUGUUUGGUCACGUUGGGGAGGUGACUGAGGUUAGGAUUGUGAAGAAUCCGC
rnacentral:lncRNA from 1 species